rnacentral:tRNA from 1 species
UGGGGUAUAGUGUAACGGCAACACAACUGACUCUGACUCAGUUAUUCUAGGUUCGAAUCCUAGUACCCCAG